GCUAAACAUAUUACCGAAGCUGUGGAUUGUCCUUUGGACAAUGGUAGGAGAGCGUUCUAAGGGCGUUGAAGCAUGAUCGUAAGGACAUGUGGAGCGCUUAGAAGUGAGAAUGCCGGUGUGAGUAGCGAAAGACGGGUGAGAAUCCCGUCCACCGAUUGACUAAGGUUUCCAGAGGAAGGCUCGUCCGCUCUGGGUUAGUCGGGUCCUAAGCUGAGGCCGACAGGCGUAGGCGAUGGAUAACAGGUUGAUAUUCCUGUACCACCUAUAAUCGUUUUAAUCGAUGGGGGGACGCAGUAGGAUAGGCGAAGCGUGCGAUUGGAUUGCACGUCUAAGCAGUAAGGCUGAGUAUUAGGCAAAUCCGGUACUCGUUAAGGCUGAGCUGUGAUGGGGAGAAGACAUUGUGUCUUCGAGUCGUUGAUUUCACACUGCCGAGAAAAGCCUCUAGAUAGAAAAUAGGUGCCCGUACCGCAAACCGACACAGGUAGUCAAGAUGAGAAUUCUAAGGUGAGCGAGCGAACUCUCGUUAAGGAACUCGGCAAAAUGACCCCGUAACUUCGGGAGAAGGGGUGCUCUUUAGGGUUAACGCCCAGAAGAGCCGCAGUGAAUAGGCCCAAGCGACUGUUUAUCAAAAACACAGGUCUCUGCUAAACCGUAAGGUGAUGUAUAGGGGCUGACGCCUGCCCGGUGCUGGAAGGUUAAGAGGAGUGGUUAGCUUCUGCGAAGCUACGAAUCGAAGCCCCAGUAAACGGCGGCCGUAACUAUAACGGUCCUAAGGUAGCGAAAUUCCUUGUCGGGUAAGUUCCGACCCGCACGAAAGGCGUAACGAUUUGGGCACUGUCUCAACGAGAGACUCGGUGAAAUCAUAGUACCUGUGAAGAUGCAGGUUACCCGCGACAGGACGGAAAGACCCCGUGGAGCUUUACUGUAGCCUGAUAUUGAAAUUCGGCACAGCUUGUACAGGAUAGGUAGGAGCCUUUGAAACGUGAGCGCUAGCUUACGUGGAGGCGCUGGUGGGAUACUACCCUAGCUG
rnacentral:rRNA from 1 species